AGAUCCUUUCUCUUGGAGUCCUUCUGUGAGCCCAGGACAUGGGGCAUGGAUCCAUGUGUCUCUGUGUCCCUCCAUUCCGCUAUUCACAGAACUGGGCCAAACCAGCCAGCAUGCUGUUGACACAAUGCCAAUGUAGCUGCCAGUAAUAUGCAUUGCAGCUGAUUUUGAAAACCUGAGUCAAGACAGAAGAUACUGGCCUUCUACAGCAGUCAGCUUUUGUGCGAUUAUCUUGCAAAGAGAUAUUUUAUCACUUCUACUUGUCUUCAAAGCUCUGGACAACAAAAAUAUAUAAAUGAUUGGGGUUGCAAUCCAUAACAAAUUUAGUAUGCAUAUAAACAACAUUUUAUGUUAGAUGCACUAGCCAGAGGAAUAUAAACAACCCCUCAAGUAAGGUUUUCAUCACUGACAGAUGGGACGGAAAUGCACAGAAUCCCAUAGGUCAUUGUAACUAGAUUCUAACACCUCACAUGCUACAUGAUUUUUCUGACAGCCUUGCAGAACUUUAUUGACAACUGUUGAGGCUACAUGUUGUGCACUAUGAGAAGAGAAAAGCCUGAGAAGCAGGGAAAUCACUCAAAGCAAAUCCAGCAAGUCAAAACAGCAAGAGAGGGGGAAAGAAAAAAAAAAAAUGAGACUGUGUUUUUACAAAUUCAGAAUUAAAGGAUAUUCAGGGUUGGAAGGGAUCUCUGUAGGUCAUCUUAUGCAACCCCCCUGCUUCAAAAAGGACACCUAAGGUUGUCUGGAGCCAUGCCAGGAUGGCAGUUCAGACUGAACUGAACAUAUACUGUGUUGCCUGUAGAUCAAGAACAGCAGCUGGCAGAAGAUUGUUGAAGAAACAACAUUGCAGGUAGUCAAGAAGUACCAGGGGACUUGUACAGAGCGCUGUUCCUCGCACCUGUGCUGCAGAAUGCCCUAUUUGAGCUCUAGCAACCAAUAUAAUGGGGAUUGUAGCAAAGCAAACUCACUGUGCACUCUAUCACAAAAAAGCCAAUAAAAAAGAAACACAAUGCAGAUGCACUUGUCUGAAGAGUCAAGAAAUGGGUGCAUCUUCUGUUUCUCUGCCUUUUUCUAACAAAGCAAAUCUCCCAAUCUUUCAAUUCUGAGGAGAGCUGGCUUCUUACAAAGAAUUGCAGUUGCUGUCUGUGAGCCUUUCUAGCAAGCUUAGGCGUAUCAACCCUGCAACAUAUACCAUAUGAAUAAACUAUGUUUAUGUCAUGUUGAGGGCAUUCAGCUCUGGGAAAACAGCAAACUUUGCUGAUAAUUUGAAGUCCAGCAUAGCGAUCAUAUUCAGUCCUGCUGCUUCUCUGUUGUCUGUUCCUUGCCUCAGAACACAAAAUGGAACCUUAAAGACAACCUAUGGAAUAAAUAAGUAAAUAACCUUUGUUACAUAUUUUCCCUAUGGGAAAUAUUUUAGAUUCUAUUCUUUUGCUCCAAGUGUUCUUAAAUUAUCGAUCAUUUAUCUUUUAACUGUAUGUAUUUCUAAUAGUCUGGAACCACCCUCUGUAGCUGAAUCAGUGGUAGAACAUAUUUCUAACUGCUCAUGAAAUCAUUUUUACUCUAGUUAGAUUUCAGUCUCCCUAAAACAACCCUGUUGGAUCUUUAUAAGCAGCAAGUUUAGAAUAUUGAGCAAUCUUUAUAGAAAGGUUAAAAUCUUUUCACAAGACUUACAAGAACUUGGCUUCACCAUUCCAAGAAUAAAAUUUUGGGACCAAACUUACACACAAAAGAACAAACUCUACAAAGGACAAUAAAACAG
ensembl:lncRNA